UUUCAGACAUGAUCAACAAGACAACAACAAACCCCAUCGGACAUUUAGAUUAGCAGUUGCACAACCUCUUUCCGACGAGCUGAACCUUUUUAUGAUGUACAUAUGGGAUAGGAUUGUGUGGAAUUGACAUCAAACCAUAUUGGUUCAUUACCCAGCAAUGGUUCAUUACCCAGCAUGGGUACUGAAACUCCAACACAUUCAAAGAAAUUUUAAUAACACCACUACAUACACACAUACACAACAAAGGGUAAAAUGUGCAUAAACAUUUAACUCAACUCUUCUCUCAUACAGCACCCUGAAUGAUAGAAAGAAACAACCAAAGUUCUCGUGUUUGAACAAGUUUUGUUUUGAGCUAUAUCAUGGCUGCUUGUGAAGUAUUAUUUUGCGUGUUUUAUUUAAUUCAGUGAUCUGUAGCAUAAUUAAAGUUUAAAUUUUUGAAGCACGCAUUUUUAAAUAAGUAAAACGUAAAAUAAAAGUUUUCUAAAGCCAAAAUAUGGAAUUGAAGAGGGUGAUACAGAAAUACUUCAUUGCACUGCCAAUUCGAAGCACGCAAUAGAAGCUACGCCAAUUGAUGUUGACAAUGGCGAAGCCAUUUAAUACGUAAAUAAUUGUUGAAUAUAAUAAUAUUAUCUUGCCUUAAAUUUCAAACCUCAUAUGGCGCGUUAAAGGUACGCAAACUUAUUGGUGUCACUUAUUGUAGCAGCGUAGAACUUUCGAAGCGAUGGAAUAUGUGCUGCAAGCAAAUCCAAAACUAUGGACGCAAACGCUGCUACAUGGAACACAAAUCGUUUACACACCAGAUAUUACGUUUAAAGUCACUUUUUUGCGUGCAAUUAAACCUUUUGGUCAACACAAGCACGAAAAUUGGAACGACAUGGUUUAGGUGCUUUUGAAACCGUUUAUUAUCACGACGUGUGUCAACUGGGUUUUGCCAAUGAGCUAGAGGGCAAAGCAGUUUCAGUAUCUUUGAGCUUACCGGCACUUGGCCGUGCCAUUAGCAGCUAAAACACAGAAAUUAAAUGGAGGACUUUUUUGAUUCAUUUUCACCUUGUAUUGAGGAACCAUAACGUUGUUGUAUCGCUUUACAAAGACAUAAAUUCACCGAAAUUAGUUCAAUGGAAAUACUACAGCAAGACCAUGGAUGUUAAGACUUGAACGGUGCCGUGUUAGAUUUAGAAUUCCUGAAACAUAAGAAACCCUCCUCCCAGAUGAAUCUAUUACUAGUGAAAUUAAUGAAAGAACAGAUCUUAUAAAAACUCCGAAAGAAACCAAAAGAGUCCUCACAUAAUGUGCGCAGCUUACACUUCCAAACCGCACGGGGUAUUUGACAUUUUCCACUCUUCCUCCAGCCUUUGUCCGAUAGCAAAAAUUGUUCAAAUAUUCAUUUUCACCUACUUUAUACAUAUGUAUAUAGUGUAGUACGAUAACAUAUGUAUAAAGUAAAUAUAAUAAUAAACAACUAAAUGGCAUGAUAUUUUCAAUAAAUAUGUAACAUAAUUAAUUAUUUUGUUAUUAAAUUCUCAUUUGGGAUUUUGGUAGAACUAACCGAAAAUAGAGGGUAUAGUUUCUGGGCUUUUGUGGGUCGCAGUACUGAAAGUGCACGUGGAGUUUUGGUUCGCAGUAUUGGGUGUUUCAUCCGUGAUUGUACCAAUACCAUUCCCCAAAUUGUGCAAGAGGUAUAUAUACAUUGCUAAAUGAUUAAUGUAAUGUGCAAGAAAGGGAUGAACGAUCACACGUACACAAUAGUUUCGGGUACUUUUGUCAAUUCGCCCUUAAGAAUGGCAUAGAAACUUUCAUUGAAACUGCGGGUACCGCUCCCUGGUAUUUCACCGGAGAAUUCGCCGGUACCUGUCUUGCAGGGUAGUUUGGUUG